GACGGAGGGCGCAAGCGUUGUUCGGAAUUACUGGGCGUAAAGCGCGGGCAGGUGGCCCGUUAAGUCUGCGGUGAAAUCCCGGGGCUCAACUCCGGAUAUGCCGCGGAUACUGGCGGGCUAGAGACUGGUAGAGGCGAGUGGAAUUCCAGGUGUAGCGGUGGAAUGCGUAGAUAUCUGGAAGAACACCGGUGGCGAAGGCGGCUCGCUGGGCAGUGGCUGACGCUGAGGCGCGACAGCGUGGGGAGCAAACAGG
rnacentral:rRNA from 1 species